rnacentral:rRNA from 1 species
AGUGAACGCUGGCGGUAGGCCUAACACAUGCAAGUCGAACGGCAGCACAGUAAGAGCUUGCUCUUACGGGUGGCGAGUGGCGGACGGGUGAGGAAUACAUCGGAAUCUACUUUUUCGUGGGGGAUAACGUAGGGAAACUUACGCUAAUACCGCAUACGACCUACGGGUGAAAGCAGGGGAUCUUCGGACCUUGCGCGAUUGAAUGAGCCGCUGUCGGAUUAGCUAGUUGGCGGGGUAAAGGCCCACCAAGGCGACGAUCCGUAGCUGGUCUGAGAGGAUGAUAAGCCACACUGGAACUGAGACACGGUCCAGACUCCUACGGGAGGCAGCAGUGGGGAAUAUUGGACAAUGGGCGCAAGCCUGAUCCAGCCAUACCGCGUGGGUGAAGAAGGCCUUCGGGUUGUAAAGCCCUUUUGUUGGGAAAGAAAAGCAGCAGGUUAAUACCCCGCUGUUCUGACGGUACCCAAAGAAUAAGCACCGGCUAACUUCGUG